rnacentral:rRNA from 1 species
CAUGUCCUUUUGAGAAUAAUUUAAGGUCUGACCUGCUCAAUGAAGAUUAAACAGCCGCAGUAUUUUGACUGUGCAAAGGUAGCAUAAUAAUUACAAGCUGCAAUGAAUGGUUGGAGAAGAAAAUUCCUAUCUCUUUCCUAAUCUUGUUGAAUUUUAUUUUUAAGUGAAAAAGCUUAAAUUUUUAUAAAAGACGAGAACACCCACCCUAUAGAGUUUAAUAAUUUUUGAUAAUUAUGAAUUAGAAUAUUUUUUUUAUAUGAAGAUUUAUUUGGUUGGAAUGACUAGAAGAUUAAAGUAAAAAACUUGAUGAUUUCAAAAUUGUGAUAUAUAGUUUAUAAAACUUGGUGAUAACAGUAUUUUUUCUUUCGAGUUCUUAUUGUAAGGAAAGUUUGCGACCCAGAUGUUGGAUUAAAAUUAAUUUUUGGUGCAAUAACUAAAAAAUCAGGUCUGUUUGACCUUUAAAAUUUUACAUGAUCUGAAUUUAAACCGGUAUAAGCCAGGUUGGAUUCUAUCUUUAGAAAAUUAUUAUAUUUUAGUACGAAAGGACCAAAUAUAAAUUAAAUUAAUUG